GGAUGAACGUUGGCGGCGUGCCUAAUACAUGCAAGUCGAGCGAACGGACGAGAAGCUUGCUUCUCUGAUGUUAGCGGCGGACGGGUGAGUAACACGUGGAUAACCUACCUAUAAGACUGGGAUAACUUCGGGAAACCGGAGCUAAUACCGGAGAAUAUUUUGAACCGCAUGGUUCAAAAGUGAAAGACGGUCUUGCUGUCACUUAUAGAUGGAUCCGCGCUGCAUUAGCUAGUUGGUAAGGUAACGGCUUACCAAGGCAACGAUGCAUAGCCGACCUGAGAGGGUGAUCGGCCACACUGGAACUGAGACACGGUCCAGACUCCUACGGGAGGCAGCAGUAGGGAAUCUUCCGCAAUGGGCGAAAGCCUGACGGAGCAACGCCGCGUGAGUGAUGAAGGUCUUCGGAUCGUAAAACUCUGUUAUUAGGGAAGAACAAAUGUGUAAGUAACUAUGCACGUCUUGACGGUACCUAAUCAGAAAGCCACGGCUAACUACGUG
rnacentral:rRNA from 1 species